AAUCAGAACUCAGGAAACAAAACUUCCAGUUGGAAUGGAAAACCCUAACCCUAAUCAGGGUUGGGUGUAGUAUUAAUAGACUUAGGUAAUUGGGCCUGGCCCAUUACAAAGGGUUGAGAUAGUAAUUACAUGGGGAAGACCCCAAACCCUAGACAGGUAAUCUAACACUUCCAACUGCAGAGCCAAACUAGCUGGCAAAUCAAACAUUGCAUUUUCACUUCAAGUAGUGGCCACAUAGACUCCACAAAAGAGUCACAAA